rnacentral:tRNA from 1 species
UCCCUGGUGGCUCAGAUGGUAAAGCAUCUGCCUACAAUGCGGGAGACCUGGGUUCGAUUCCUGGGUUGGGAA